UUCCUACGGGGGGCAGCAGUGGGGAAUAUUGGGCAAUGGGCGCAAGCCUUACCCAGCAAUACCGCGUGAGUGAAGAAGGUCUUCGGAUUGUAAAGCUCUUUGAUCAGGGACGAACAGAUGACGGUACCUGAAGAACAAGCCCCGGCUAACUACGCGCCAGCAGCCGCGGUAAAACGUAGGUGGCAAGCGUUGUCCGGAUUUACUGGGUGUAAAGGGCGUGCAGCCGGGCCGACAAGUCAGAUGUGAAAUCCGCGGGCUUAACCCGCGAACUGCAUUUGAAACUAUUGGUCUUGAGUACC
rnacentral:rRNA from 1 species